CGAACGGGUGAGUAACACGUGAGUAACCUGCCCUUGACUCUGGGAUAAGCCUGGGAAACUGGGUCUAAUACUGGAUACGACCUUCCAUCGCAUGGUGGUUGGUGGAAAGCUUUUGUGGUUUUGGAUGGACUCGCGGCCUAUCAGCUUGUUGGUGGGGUAAUGGCCUACCAAGGCGACGACGGGUAGCCGGCCUGAGAGGGUGGACGGCCACACUGGGACUGAGACACGGCCCAGACUCCUACGGGAGGCAGCAGUGGGGAAUAUUGCACAAUGGGCGCAAGCCUGAUGCAGCGACGCCGCGUGAGGGAUGAAGGCCUUCGGGUUGUAAACCUCUUUCAGUAGGGAAGAAGCGAAAGUGACGGUACCUGCAGAAGAAGCGCCGGCUAACUACGUGCCAGCAGCCGCGGUAAUACGUAGGGCGCAAGCGUUAUCCGGAAUUAUUGGGCGUAAAGAGCUCGUAGGCGGUUUGUCGCGUCUGCCGUGAAAGUCCGGGGCUUAACCCCGGAUCUGCGGUGGGUACGGGCAGA
rnacentral:rRNA from 1 species